rnacentral:rRNA from 1 species
CAUAGCGUUUUGGACCCACCUGAACCCAUUCCGAACUCAGAAGUGAAACGAAAUAGCGUCGAUGGUAGUGUGGGGCUUCCCCAUGUGAGAGUAGAACAUCGCCAGGC